rnacentral:pre_miRNA from 9 species
UCUCGAUAGCGUAAAAGUUAACUCAAAUUUGUAUGGAGUUGGAUCGCGUCUAUGUUUGCCGCUAGGGGCGCUGUUUCAACUGCAUACAAAUUUGAGUUAACUUUUACGCUAUCGA